GAGUUUGAAUCAUGGCUCAGGACGAACGCUGGCGGCAUGCCUAAUACAUGCAAGUCGAGGAGGGGAGGACGAGAGCUUGCUCUCUGAUUUUAGCGGCGGACGGGUGAGUAACACGUGGGCAACCUGCCCUACAGAUGGGGAUAACUCCGGGAAACCGGGGCUAAUACCGAAUAAUCAGUUUGUCCGCAUGGACAAACUCCGAAAGACGGUUUCGGCUGUCACUGUAGAUGGGCCCGCGGCGCAUUACUAGUUGGUGGGGUAAUGGCCUACCAAGGCAACGAUGCGUAGCCGACCUGAGAGGGUGAUCGGCCACACUGGGACUGAGACACGGCCCAGACUCCUACGGGAGGCAGCAGUAGGGAAUCUUCCACAAUGGACGAAAGUCUGAUGGAGCAAUGCCGCGUGAGCGAAGAAGGUUUUCGGAUCGUAAAGCUCUGUUGUAAGGGAAGAACACGUACGGGAGUAACUGCCCGUGCCAUGACGGUACCUUAUUAGAAAGCCACGGCUAACUACGUGCCAGCAGCCGCGGUAAUACGUAGGUGGCAAGCGUUGUCCGGAAUUAUUGGGCGUAAAGCGCGCGCAGGCGGUUCUUUAAGGUCUGAUGUGAAAGGCCCAC
rnacentral:rRNA from 1 species